UCCUGUCAGACCCUGAAGUCAGGUGGAGUG
rnacentral:piRNA from 1 species